rnacentral:misc_RNA from 1 species
GCUACCUCAUAAGAAUUCGACCUGAAUACAUAUGUGAAUUCAACUCAAAUUACCAUAAAUUUAUUUAUUUUUUAGGUGCCAGGAAAGAAAAUAAUUUGUUUGUCGCUGACAAAUUUUAAGAGAAGAAAGCAAUUCCUAAACCAAAAUCAAGAAAUGGUAGCUACCUAACAACGAAUGUAUGCAAUAUAAAAUGGUCAUGAAAUUAUAAUUUUGCACUUGAACAAAGAAACACAAAGAAGUAAAGGUGGAAACCCAUUUUUGAAAAGAGAGAAAAUGUUAAGAAAGACGUUGUGAAAACGAUAAUAUUUGAUCACAGUUAUUCAGAAAGGGAAGAAAUUCAAAAAGCUGUUCAAUUAACCUGGAAAGCAAACCCAUCUGUU